GCUGAAAUGGUGAAAUGGCAGACACGCAUGAUUCAGGUUCAUGUGCCGUAAGGCAUGGGGGUUCAAGUCCCCCUUUCAGCACCA
rnacentral:tRNA from 1 species